GGGAAUGUGGCUUAGUGGGAAAGUGCUUGCCUAGCAUGCAGGAAGCCCUGGGUUCGAUUCCUCAGUACCA
rfam:Dipodomys ordii contig_3159, whole genome shotgun sequence.